rnacentral:tRNA from 1 species
UGUAAAAUAAGCUAAAUAGUAAGCUGUUGGGUUCAUACCCCAAAAAUGAAUGUUUGAUUCUUUUACAA